GAACGCUGGCGGCAGGCCUAACACAUGCAAGUCGAGCGGUAGAGAGGUGCUUGCAUCUCUUGAGAGCGGCGGACGGGUGAGUAAUGCCUAGGAAUCUGCCUAGUGGUGGGGGAUAACGUUCGGAAACGGACGCUAAUACCGCAUACGUCCUACGGGAGAAAGCGGGGGAUCUUCGGACCUCGCGCCAUUAGAUGAGCCUAGGUCGGAUUAGCUAGUUGGUGAGGUAAUGGCUCACCAAGGCGACGAUCCGUAACUGGUCUGAGAGGAUGAUCAGUCACACUGGAACUGAGACACGGUCCAGACUCCUACGGGAGGCAGCAGUGGGGAAUUUUGGACAAUGGGCGCAAGCCUGAUCCAGCAAUGCCGCGUGCAGGAUGAAGGCCUUCGGGUUGUAAACUGCUUUUGUACGGAACGAAACGGUGAGCUCUAAUACAGUUUGCUAAUGACGGUACCGUAAGAAUAAGCACCGGCUAACUACGUG
rnacentral:rRNA from 1 species